rnacentral:rRNA from 1 species
AUACGGAAGGUGCAAGCGUUAAUCGGAAUCACUGGGCGUAAAGCGCUCGUAGGUGGCUUUGUAAGUCAGGUGUGAAAGCCCACGGCUCAACCGUGGAAUUGCACUUGAUACUGCAUUGCUUGAGUUCGGGAGAGGGUAGUGGAAUUCCAGGUGUAGGAGUGAAAUCCGUAGAGAUCUGGAGGAACACCAGUGGCGAAGGCGACUACCUGGACCGAUACUGACACUGGAGGAAGCGAAAGGCGUGGGGAAG